rnacentral:rRNA from 1 species
GGGUUGUGAGGUUAAGCGACUAAGCGUACACGGUGGAUGCCCUGGCAGUCAGAGGCGAUGAAGGACGUGCUAAUCUGCGAUAAGCGUCGGUAAGGUGAUAUGAACCGUUAUAACCGGCGAUUUCCGAAUGGGGAAACCCAGUGUGUUUCGACACACUAUCAUUAACUGAAUCCAUAGGUUAAUGAGGCGAACCGGGGGAACUGAAACAUCUAAGUACCCCGAGGAAAAGAAAUCAACCGAGAUUCCCCCAGUAGCGGCGAGCGAACGGGGAGGAGCCCAGAGCCUGAAUCAGUGUGUGUGUUAGUGGAAGCGUCUGGAAAGGCGCGCGAUACAGGGUGACAGCCCCGUACACAAAAAUGCACAUGCUGUGAGCUCGAUGAGUAGGGCGGGACACGUGGUAUCCUGUCUGAAUAUGGGGGGACCAUCCUCCAAGGCUAAAUACUCCUGACUGACCGAUAGUGAACCAGUACCGUGAGGGAAAGGCGAAAAGAACCCCGGCGAGGGGAGUGAAAAAGAACCUGAAACCGUGUACGUACAAGCAGUGGGAGCCUCUUUUAUGGGGUGACUGCGUACCUUUUGUAUAAUGGGUCAGCGACUUAUAUU